UGGAAUGUCUUUGGACCGGAGAUAAC
rnacentral:piRNA from 1 species